AUGUGUGACAGUGUGAGGUGUUUUUGUGUGGGACCUUGUUCAAUGGACUCUUUUAAUCUUGUAUCUGGAGGGUUUUGUGAGAAUAUGUUAGAUUCUGAGAAGGGUUAAUUUUAUGCUGAUCAACUAUAUGCUUCAUAUUAAUCCCACUAUCAAGCAUAAACUUAUACUGUUCCUUUAUUCUCUUUGCUUUUGAUGGGGCAUAAGGAUAUUUGCCUUUUGCAUGAGGUAAGAUGAUUCUCUCGCUAUUUGAUAGAGAUCACAUGUGUCGAACGGUGUCUCAUUCCCUGUCCCGAGCCAAUGAAAAUGUUACGUUUUGUUUUUAAAAAAUUUCUUUUAUUCAUAUGGUAAUAUGUUAUUGGUUUCGGGAUAGGUGAUCCCCAUCCUUCUUCAUUCUAAUUAGCUUUUGGGCUAUCGAGUAAGUAUCAUUUCCAUUAACGGAAUGAUGUUUGUUAGUGGCUAUUGUAUGAGCCAUAAGGUUCGAAGUUGUAUUUUAUAAUCUAAACCAUAACUUUUAUUUUAUAGGUGAUAAACCUAGAGUGUAUUACAUAUAGAGAAGAAAAGAGAAAAUCAAAUGAACUAGAACUUGGUCUUAUGCCACUUAUUAGUUUGAAGGUGUGGUAUGGAAGGGAAAUGUUUUGGAAUACUAACUUUAGUUUUUAGUUACCAAAUCAUAAUAUUUUUGGUUGACAAGUCCAAGUAAUAACUUUUUCUCAUAAGUACAGAGUUCAGGAUGGGAAACUAGUGAAGCGCUGAUUAACCUUUCUUUGCUUCUCUAUAGCCACAGAAUAGAAUUCUUCCUGCACUUUGCAUAAGGUCUGUUUGCCAGUUUGGAGAUAAAGAAAAUGAAAGGGAAGACUUUGAGGGUCAUGAAGUAUACCGAUGAAAUGAGAAUGGAGCCUUCCAUUUUUUCUUAUUUCCCCUUUAAAACUGAAGUAAUAAAUAUAACCAUGUUCUUAUUUGAGCAACCAUAUACUUAAUUUUCCCAAACUUUGCUUACUAGUAUAAUGGGAUGUCUACC